rnacentral:rRNA from 1 species
UUCCAGACUCCUACGGGAGGCAGCAGUGGGGAAUAUUGCACAAUGGGGGGAACCCUGAUGCAGCGACGCCGCGUGGGUGAAGAAGUAUUUCGGUAUGUAAAGCCCUAUCAGCAGGGAAGAAAAAUGACGGUACCUGACUAAGAAGCACCGGCUAAAUACGUGCCAGCAGCCGCGGUAAUACGUAUGGUGCAAGCGUUAUCCGGAUUUACUGGGUGUAAAGGGAGCGCAGGCGGCACGCUGAGCCUGAUGUGAAAACCCGCGGCCCAACCGCGGGAGUGCAUUGGGAACUGGCGGGCUGGAGUGCCGGAGGGGCAGGCGGAAUUCCUAGUGUAGCGGUGAAAUGCGUAGAUAUUAGGAGGAACACCAGUGGCGAAGGCGGCCUGCUGGACGGAGACUGACGCUGAGGCUCGAAAGCGUGGGGAGCAAACAGGAUUAGAUGCCCGCGUG